AACGCUAGCUACAGGCUUAACACAUGCAAGUCGAGGGGCAGCAUUUUAGUUUGCUUGCAAACUGAAGAUGGCGACCGGCGCACGGGUGAGUAACACGUAUCCAACCUGCCGAUAACUCCGGAAUAGCCUUUCGAAAGAAAGAUUAAUACCGGAUAGCAUACGAAUAUCGCAUGAUAUUUUUAUUAAAGAAUUUCGGUUAUCGAUGGGGAUGCGUUCCAUUAGUUUGUUGGCGGGGUAACGGCCCACCAAGACUACGAUGGAUAGGGGUUCUGAGAGGAAGGUCCCCCACAUUGGAACUGAGACACGGUCCAAACUCCUACGGGAGGCAGCAGUGAGGAAUAUUGGUCAAUGGGCGAGAGCCUGAACCAGCCAAGUAGCGUGAAGGAUGAAGGCUCUAUGGGUCGUAAACUUCUUUUAUAUGGGAAUAAAGUUUUCCACGUGUGGAAUUUUGUAUGUACCAUAUGAAUAAGGAUCGGCUAACUCCGUGCCAGCAGCCGCGGUAAUACGGAGGAUCCGAGCGUUAUCCGGAUUUAUUGGGUUUAAAGGGAGCGUAGGUGGAUUGUUAAGUCAGUUGUGAAAGUUUGCGGCUCAACCGUAAAAUUGCAGUUGAAACUGGCAGUCUUGAGUACAGUAGAGGUGGGCGGAAUUCGUGGUGUAGCGGUGAAAUGCUUAGAUAUCACGAAGAACUCCGAUCGCGAAGGCAGCUCACUAGACUGUCACUGACACUGAUGCUCGAAAGUGUGGGUAUCAAACAGGAUUAGAUACCCUGGUAGUCCACACAGUAAACGAUGAAUACUCGCUGUUUGCGAUAUACAGUAAGCGGCCAAGCGAAAGCAUUAAGUAUCCCACCUGGGGAGUACGCCGGCAACGGUGAAACUCAAAGGAAUUGACGGGGGCCCGCACAAGCGGAGGAACAUGUGGUUUAAUUCGAUGAUACGCGAGGAACCUUACCCGGGCUUAAAUUGCAACAGAAUAUAUUGGAAACAGUAUAGCCGUAAGGCUGUUGUGAAGGUGCUGCAUGGUUGUCGUCAGCUCGUGCCGUGAGGUGUCGGCUUAAGUGCCAUAACGAGCGCAACCCUUAUCUUUAGUUACUAACAGGUUAUGCUGAGGACUCUAGAGAGACUGCCGUCGUAAGAUGUGAGGAAGGUGGGGAUGACGUCAAAUCAGCACGGCCCUUACGUCCGGGGCUACACACGUGUUACAAUGGGGGGUACAGAAGGCGGCUACCUGGUGACAGGAUGCUAAUCCCAAAAACCUCUCUCAGUUCGGAUCGAAGUCUGCAACCCGACUUCGUGAAGCUGGAUUCGCUAGUAAUCGCGCAUCAGCCAUGGCGCGGUGAAUACGUUCCCAGGCCUUGUACACACCGCCCGUCAAGCCAUGAAAGCCGGGGGUACCUGAAGUGCGUAACCGCGAGGAUCGCCCUAGGGUAAAACUGGUGACUGGGGCU
rnacentral:rRNA from 1 species